rnacentral:lncRNA from 10 species
ACCCGCGAACCUGGAAAUGGAGCCUAGGGGCUGAGGUUUUGCGCGCCUGGUUCCAAGGGCCACUCCCCGUGUGCUCUCCUCUUUCCUGCGCCUCAGCCGCUGCCGUCCCCCCACCCCCAAGGGACUUUUGUGAGGCAGAAACGCAUCCUAUACUCGGGGGAUCCUGUUUCCUUUCAAAACGCCUUUCCAGGCUUGCCCGUUCCCGGCUUUCUGGGCGCGGGGACCAGAAUUAGAAGCCACUGGGGCGGGAGCCAGGGCUUUUCUCUGUCAGAUGGUUCUUGCGAGGAACCCCUAAGCGAUACGAAAGGAAACUCUUCUUUCUUCUUUUCCCUAAAGACAUGGCGUGAUUCAAACGUAUCGUGAUUUUUGUCAUCUUUCAGACCACUGCUGUCCAAGAGAAAUAUAACGCCAUCCAACUGUGUAAUUUGGAAGUUUCUCAUAGGCACAUAAGCUUAAAAAUUUUAAUGAUAUACUUUAUUUAAUCCAAUAUAUCCAAAGUAAGAUUUCAACAUGCAAUCAAUAGAAAAACUAAAUGCGAUAUUUUAAUUCUUUUGAAAAUCGUAUGUGUUUCUGAAACCCGGUGUAGUGUUGACUUGCAUAUGUCUCAAUUCGGGCCAUCCCUAUUUCGAGAGGUUAGCGGCCACCUGCGGCCAGUGCUGUCUCAUCAGGGGACACAGGCAGCAUGAUUAUUACUAUUAUUAUUAUUGAGACAGUCUCGCUCUGUCACCCAGGCUGGAGUGCGGUGGCCCGAUCUGGGCUCACUGCAACCUCCACCUCCCGGGUUCAAGCGAUUCUCCUGCCUCAGCCUCCCCAGUAGCUGGGACUACAGGUGCGAGCCACCGCGCCCAGCCCACAGGCAGCUUUAGAUGGUCUAGCAGGAGCUCAGCACAUUCAGUUAGAUUCUUUUUUUGAGAUGGGGUCUCGCUAUGUUGCCCAGAUUAUCUGGGACUCGUGGGCCCAAGCAAUCCUCCCACCUCCGCCUCACAGAAUAGCUGGGACUACAAACGGGCACCACAACGCCCUGAGUUUGAUUCUUGAGUCCCCUUCUGUGGGCAAUAUGGUUAUAAACUUGAUGAGGAGCCAGGCCAUACAAAUAAUAAUACAGAAUGCUACAUAGUCAGGUGGUGAAAUAGUAGGUGCUACGGGCAAGGAGAAGGAGAUCAAUUUUGUUAAGGAAAGCACUCUUGGCUGCAAUUUCUGUUGAAAGUUUCUCAAACAUUAAUUCAACUUAAUGAAGUGGGAUGCUAUUAUAUUAGAGAAAUGGCUAAUGUUUGUUCUUCAGGUGGUCUUGUCUUGAGGUGAUGGGGUUUAUUAGAGCUUUCCGGAAAGAAGGGGCAAUAUUCUUACUCUCUCCUCUCACAGUUUUUCCCCAGACUCCCAGGAACAGAGAUGGAAUUUCACAUCUUCUGCUCUGGGAAAGUCACAUUAGGAGUAAUUGUGUUCAGAUAAAAUGUCUCUAGACUUGAUACAUCUGUACUCCAACCAAAAUGAUAAAAAAAUUUAAAAUGACCAGAAUGGCCCUUUGUGGUGUGAGCAUAAUAGAUGCUUGCUGUAGAGACACAGGUGGGAAGGAGCGAGCCAGCAGUGAGUGAUGGGGAGGACAGAGGGGAUCAUGGUGAUGGGAUGUGUAGAGGAAGGAUUGGGUGAGAUGAAACACUUCAAAUAAUGUGCUAUUUGGAAAACAUUUUAAAACCAUAAAUACCUCACAGAUCUAGGGAAUGUAUAAUCCAGGUGUUACGUCACUAUGACAACAAGUAGUUGUAGCUUCAUUUACUAGAUUGGGCCUCUAUUCUUUUUUGUGUUUUUUGAGACGAAGUCUUGCUCUGUCACUCAAGCUGGAGUGCAGUGACGCGAUCUCGGCUCACUGCAACCUCUGCCUCCUGGGUGCAAGUGAUUCUCCUGCCUGAGCCUCCCGAGUAGCUGGGACUACAGGCGUGCAUCACCACGCCCGCCUAAUUUUUGUAUUUUUAGUACAGAUGGGGUUUCACUAUGUUAGCCAGGUUGGUCUCGAACUCCUGACCUUGUGAUCCACCCGCCUCGGCCUCCCAAAGUGCUGGGAUUACAGUCGUGGGCCACCGUGCCCAGCCAGGGACCUCUAUUCUUUGAACUACAAGGCAAGGUCAUCCUCCCACCCCCUUAUCCAUUCAGUGAACAUUUACUGAGGCGUUACUCUGUAAAGAACCCUGAGAGAGACCAGGCUGAGUAAGACAGGCUUUACUGCCGAUUUACUUCCAAUAUGCUCGCUUUUCAUCUCUGACAUUCUGUGGUCUUAUGAAAAUGGAAAUGGAGACAAAAAGAUCAUGGUGCCCCCAGUCCCAUGGUCAUUUCACAUUCCAAUUUCUUCUUAGUUGUACUUUUGAAUUAAUUUUAUUUCACUUUGUCCCUUUUUUUCCUUAUUUGCUUUUUUAAUUUCUUCUCUUCCUCUUCCUGGGACAUCAACCAUCCAAUUUAACCUUUCAUCCUCCCCUACUACCUAAUCCUUGAAAAAUACAAGUCCAAAAUCAUUUCAUCACCAGUAAUUGUCUUUAAAUUGCUCCAAUAAUUUGCAAGGACCAAGGGGAAAAGAGAAAGAUUAAAAAGCCAAAUGCCCAGAGAAACAGAUUUUAUAAAUAAUCUAAAAUCUAGUAUACUUAUUCACCAUCAAUGCCAUCAAGCUUUUAAAACACCCUCAUAGUCUGGAAUAAAUCCAAAUUAUGAGAAAAACAUAUAUGGAUUUAAAAAUUGUUUCCUUCUGAGCCUACUGUGAGUCUUUUAGGGGGAUAAAAAAGUAAAAAGUAAAAUAGAAAAUUACUGUUGCCUGGUUACUUAGCUCUAAAGAGAAACGGAGAAAUAAUGCCCAUGUCCCAUCCCAGUUUAAAUGAAUUCAGGUAGAAUAGUAGAACCCUAGACCUAGGGAAGACUUAGGGAGGUUUCAUACAGAAAGAAUGACAUUUAAACCAUCCCAAACAGCACAGAGUCUUCACAAUUUCUGAAGACCAUCAGAGAAGAAUAUUUAUUUUCUAUUUGCAAGUAACUACUCCUCCCCAUUUGAAAAUUUAGCAAGCCUGAUCUUAAGUAAAUUCUUUACAAAUCCUCCUUUAUUCAAGUGAAUUUCCUCUUUUUAGCUACCAGUAUGUAACUUUUAUAAUCG